rnacentral:rRNA from 1 species
AACACAUGUCUUUUUGAUAAAAAUUUAAAGUCAGGUCUGCUCACUGAAUUAUUUUAAAGAGCCGCAGUAUAUUGACUGUGCAAAGGUAGCAUAAUCAAUAGUUUCUUAAUUGGGAACUAGAAUGAAAGAUUAGACGAAAAAUUAAUUUUCUUUGUUUUAAUAAAUUUAAUUUUAAAUUUAAGUGAAAAUGCUUAAAUACAAUUAAAAGACGAGAAGACCCUAUAGAUUUUUAUUAUUGAAAUAAAUUUUUAAAUUUAAUUUAAUAAGAUAAUUUAAUUGGGGCGAUUUUAUAAUAUAAAUAACUUAAUUUUUUUAAACCAUAAAUAAUUGAAUAUUUGAUCUAAAAUUUUUAAAGAAAAGAUUAAAUUACCUUAGGGAUAACAGCGUAAUUUUAUUUAAGAGUUCAUAUCUAUAAUAAAGUUUGCGACCUCGAUGUUGAAUUAAGAUAAUAUAUUGGAGUAGAAAUUAAUAUAAUUAGUCUGUUCGACUAUUAAAUUCUUACGUGAUCUG